GGACUACAUCUCCGCGGUACAUAUACUAAAAUUGGAACGAUACAGAGAAGAUUAGCAUGGCCCCUCCGCAAGGAUGACACGCGAAAUCGUGAAGCGUUCCAUAUUUUU
rfam:Schistosoma mansoni strain Puerto Rico chromosome 4, complete genome